GUCAGUUAGCAUCUUAGACUAGCAUCUUAGACUAGCAUCUUAGACUAGCAUCUUAGACUGGCAUCUUGGCAGCAUCUUAGCAUAUGCCUUGGCUGGCUAGCAGCCUAUAAAUAUGUAUCCCCAACCCCUCGGGUUGGUAUGGCAUUGUGUGAGAAAUAAACCAACGAAAAUUGUCCCAACUCUCCUAGUGUCAUCCACAACUAUCAAUGCUCAGGCUGAAAGGUCUAACAAGGAUAAAGGAGUGCAGUUUUCUGAUUCCGUGAUCUGCAGGUUUGAAGAACUAAUAUUAUGUAGCAAAUGGCAAUAGAAUAAUUUAGAUUUAAUAAAUUAGCUUUAAGGAUAAAUUAGCUGGUGCAUUUUAUUAUCAAGAACUAAUACUAUCAAUAUACUGGGGGCAAUAUUUAGCAAACAGUUCAAAAUUAGAUACUUCUUUAGAUUUAAGGAAUAAUCCAUCUUACCCCUCCAAUAAAGAAGGAAUAAUCCAUUUUCAUAUGUUCCUUUUUAUAUGCAGGCUACAACAGAGCUCCUAGCCGAAGCUCAUCCAGGAGCUUCGGCUAGCUGCUCGAACAAAUCGAAUGAGGGUGCACCGGCCUCCAGCAUGAAGCCUGCGAUUAGAGGCAGUCCUUUGCACUCCACCUCAUGCCCGUGCAUUGUUGGUACGCGUAUUUGAGGUCGAGUGUGUGCGCGCCUCUGCAACCCCAUAACUAGAGACCGAAAUCAAGGGUUUUGAUUGGUAAGUGAUGGAAAAAAGGAGAGGAAUAGCAGCAGGUAUAGAAGGAUUUCGGUUCCAGUAGCAAAAGUCAAUCCAUAAUCAUCGCAGAGAGCAAGCUGGACAAGGAGGCAGGAAGCAUAGGAGUUGGGGAAGAGAGAUCCAUGUGUUGGCGAGUGCUAGCUGGGUGUGUGCCUCCUGUUUGAGAGGGAGGGAGGACCUUUGCUGGGCAGUCAAAGGAUGUGCUCGGUUAUGGUGGCCCAACUGCAAGCUUAGCUUGCAGCUCCAGCUUGGAUUUGUCAGAUUUAUUGGUAAGCCAAAUUGUUUAAAUUUAUAUUGUCCAAUUUAUUUAUAGGAACCAAUCACCCAAAUGCCUUUCCUAGACUGAUGCAAAUGGAGCUUGCAAUCAGAUCCAAAAGACUAAUGAAGCUGGAGCUGUCAAACUGACCAAAGCAGGAAAACGUCGGUCUCAUCCCUGGCCUUCUUCAGUUGAGAAGAUUACUCUGCUUUUUAUCACUGUUGGAGGAUUCCUUAUUUUCAGAAGUCAGUAUCACAGCAACAGGCAAGCAGCUUGGCCAACUCAUUAUUUCUACCGUCACCAAUCGUUUUUAUUGUUGCUGGCCAAUGUAGAUUGUCGUGAUUGUAUGAAAGAUUAAUACCUUUCUCACGUGCAUGCUAGCUAGAAGCCGAUGUAUGAUUCUUGGUGUAUUCUUGUGUGUGUCCAUCGAAACAAGAGGGAGGGUCGGGCUCCAGUCAUCCAGAUCCUAUUAAUGGAGUUCAGCCACUUUGAAAAAGGUGAUGCUUCACAUUGUAAGUUUCUUUGUGGUUGUUGGUGUUUUUUCUUGAUGUGUUUGCAUGAUAGUUGUCUGCUUGUGCAUAUUCAGCUGUUCGAAAAUGCUUGUCAUUCAUGUGCAAGUUAACCAGCUAGGGAAAGUAAUAGCAGUUCACUUGAUCACAUGGUAAUAAUGUUAGUAGGUGUAUGUCAAGCUAGCUGAUUAGCAAGUCAACAUGGCCUCGGUUAACAUACGUCGGUUUUUAGUUGCUGGUCAGUUAUGCAGCUUGUCUCCAAUGACCUUUCUAACUCAAACAUGCCAUCGAUCGGUCAAAUAGACAACAAGGACACGAAACAAAUGGAAAGAAAGCAGCAAGCUGUUAAAUUCAUAAUUUUAUUUCUGUGAUUUCUUCUUUCAUUUUGUGGAACCUAGCUUGUGAAAUCUUCCGUCUUUCUAACUUGAGGGCCUCUUGUGGUUUUAGCAAUGGGCUUGGCUCUAGCUCUUAAAAGUUGGUGAGCGAGAAGUUCACAACCUGAACACCGUAAGUUGUGCCUUCAUGCCUAUUACAAAGAAGUUACUAUAAAAGGGAUUUGUGUGUGAGUUUGACCAAUUGGAUUCCUGAUUGAUUUAUCAGAACCAAUACAUGCAAUGCUACAUCACACCAUAUUUUAAAAGUUCAUUGGAAAUUUCAAAGGUAGCAACGAGGUGCAACGGUCCUCCGCUGAGCGACUUUGUUGAGAGUCAAUUUCUUUAGGAGCAGGUAAACCGUCUUCAUACAGAGAGAUCUGCCAUAAAGGCACUAUUGUCUCGAAACACUUCAUGCACUUUGAUCCGAUACUGCUUGAAGAAAAGGCCUAAAGGUGAGGACAGGAAUGCUCCAAGGGAAGAUGCAUGUAAGGUCACAAAUCAUAACUCUCAGGUAGCGGAUCAGCCAACCACUGGAUGUGUUCCAUGAUUUAUUUAUUUCAGUGGUUUACAAAGUGGUAUGUACGGUGCACACGCCCUCCAAAGUUAUAAUUUCUCUUUAGUUAUCUCCUUACGAUUUCUUUGAUGCUUGUGAAAAUGCGAAGGCUUGAUGUGAACUAUGGUGCCGACAGGAUAUGAAUGGCCGGACAAUGCGGCAUUUUUCUUUUGCACCAAAGAAUCUCAGACCAUCAUGCUGUUCUUUUCAGUUUGAAUCUUCUUAGAAGUUGGAAUGUAAGUAGGAAGAUAACAUACACAGUUCAAUUUUGUAUGUCUAAUUAAUAAUGGUUUUGUGGUUGACAUUUGGGGAUGAUGAUAUAAACAACUAAAGCAAUGGUAAGAAAAUGUAUGUUCCAUUUUCAUCUUAUUAGUGGGCUAAAUCCAUGGAGCUUUGGUACGUUAUUAUUGAUUGAUAGUCAUCUAUAUAUGGAUUUUUUUAGCCUUUUGUUUCUCCUCAUGCUGCUACUGUAUCAAUUCAAUUUGAGAAGCACAUUCUUCAUGCGCCUAUAUGUGGUAUACUAAUAUGCACUGCUGUAAGUCGGUUGCUAUUGUUAAAUGGAUCAAUAAUGAAAUACUCAUUACUGCUACCAGAGUAUAUUCCAUCACAAUGCCCGGGCACCAAUAGUCAAGAGGAGGAUGUUGUAGAUGAAAGUGAUAGGAGGUAACUAUGAGCAUGAUCUAACAAUGGGCCAAUGCCAUCCUUGCAGUUGCGUACCGCACGCACCCACACGCCGCACUGCACGCCCACGUGUCAGAGAAACAAUCACAGAUAAACAGCGAACAUCAGUUGACAUUAUUUUCUUUAUGAACCCCACGGGUGUUGACUACAAAGGGAUUUUAUAUUCACACAAAUAUUUUCAAGCGAACUGCCCCUGAAAAAGAAGUGUACCCCUCGUGGAAUACCUUUUGUUUCUUGUCACAAGCCGAACCAGGGGCGCGUUGUAACGAACUGCAUCAUUUUCAACAUUUCACAAGCAGGUUCCUAGAAUUUUUAGGCCCUGAAUGUUUUUCA